rnacentral:rRNA from 1 species
AUUGAACGCUGGCGGCAGGCUUAACACAUGCAAGUCGAGCGGAGAUGAGGUGCUUGCACCUUAUCUUAGCGGCGGACGGGUGAGUAAUGCUUAGGAAUCUGCCUAUUAGUGGGGGACAACAUUCCGAAAGGAAUGCUAAUACCGCAUACGUCCUACGGAAGGAAGCAGGGGAUCUUCGGACCUUGCGCUAAUAGAUGAGCCUAAGUCGGAUUAGCUAGUUGGUGGGGUAAAGGCCUACCAAGGCGACGAUCUGUAGCGGGUCUGAGAGGAUGAUCCGCCACACUGGGACUGAGACACGGCCCAGACUCCUACGGGAGGCAGCAGUGGGGAAUAUUGGACAAUGGGGGGAACCCUGAUCCAGCCAUGCCGCGUGUGUGAAGAAGGCCUUAUGGUUGUAAAGCACUUUAAGCGAGGAGGAGGCUACUGAGACUAAUACUCUUGGAUAGUGGACGUUACUCGCAGAAUAAGCACCGGCUAACUCUGUGCCAGCCGCCGCAGUAACAC